rnacentral:rRNA from 1 species
GACGAACGCUGGCGGCGUGCUUAACACAUGCAAGUCGAACGAAGAGCGAUGGAAGCUUGCUUCUAUCAAUCUUAGUGGCGAACGGGUGAGUAACGCGUAAUCAACCUGCCCUUCAGAGGGGGACAACAGUUGGAAACGACUGCUAAUACCGCAUACGAUCUAAUCUCGGCAUCGAGGAUAGAUUAAAGGUGGCCUCUACAUGUAAGCUAUCACUGAAGGAGGGGAUUGCGUCUGAUUAGCUAGUUGGAGGGGUAACGGCCCACCAAGGCGAUGAUCAGUAGCCGGUCUGAGAGGAUGAACGGCCACAUUGGGACUGAGACACGGCCCAGACUCCUACGGGACGCAGCAGUGGGGAAUCUUCCGCAAUGGACGAAAGUCUGACGGAGCAACGCCGCGUGAGUGAUGACGGCCUUCGGGUUGUAAAGCUCUGUUAAUCGGGACGAAAGGCCUUCUUGCGAAUAGUGAGAAGGAUUGACGGUACCGGAAUAGAAAGCCACGGCUAACUACGUG